rnacentral:rRNA from 1 species
CCUACGGGAGGCAGCAGUGGGGAAUAUUGGACAAUGGGCGCAAGCCUGAUCCAGCCAUGCCGCGUGAGUGAAGAAGGCCUUAGGGUUGUAAAGCUCUUUCAGUGGUGAAGAUAAUGACGGUAGCCACAGAAGAAGCCCCGGCCAACUCCGUGCCAGCAGCCGCGGUAAUACGGAGGGGGCUAGCGUUGUUCGGAAUUACUGGGCGUAAAGCGCGCGUAGGCGGGCUGGCCAGUUGGGGGUGAAAUCCCGAGGCUUAACCUCGGAACUGCCCUCAAUACUGUCAGCCUCGAGUCCGGGAGAGGUGAGUGGAAUUCCUAGUGUAGAGGUGAAAUUCGUAGAUAUUAGGAAGAACACCAGUGGCGAAGGCGGCUCACUGGCCCGGUACUGACGCUGAGGCGCGAAAGCGUGGGGAGCAAACAGGAUUAGAUACCCGAGUAGUC